CAACGAGCACUAGAAGUGGAAAUAUCAAAUACAGAACAUAUAUUCACAUAGAUUUUGGAUUUGCAGUUUGAUAAAGUAAUAGUUCCUGGGACUUAUAACUUGACAAUUGGCUCUACUAUUCGCCGUCCUUGGGACCGUUCUUGGAACGGUGUAGUUAAAUACGAAUACAAGAAAAGUGGAACAAAUCUUGAGAAAGCAAGGUUAGUCAUCAUGCAACCUAACAUGGCUCGGAGAGUGUUUCCAUGUUGGGAUGAGCCCGAAUUAAAGGC